rnacentral:tRNA from 1 species
UCCGGAAUAGCUCAGUUGGUUAGAGCAUCUGACGGUCGCAGGUUCAAGUCCUGCUUCCGGAGCCA